GACAGUACUGACGCUGAGAUGCGAAAGCGUGGGGAGCAAACAGGAUUAGAUACCUGGUAGUCACGCUGUAAACGAUGUCAAUUUGGAGUUUGUUGCCUAGAGUGAUGGGCUCCGAAGCUAACGCGAUAAAUCGACCGCUGGGGAGCACGGCCGCAAGGUUAAAACUCAAAUGAAUUGACGGGGGCCCGCACAAGCGGUGGAGCAUGUGGUUUAAUUCGAUGCAACGCGAAGAACCUUACCUGGUCUUGACAUCCAUAGAAUUCUGCAGAGAUGUGGGAGUGCCUUCGGGAACUAUGAGACAGGUGCUGCAUGGCUGUCGUCAGCUCGUGUUGUGAAAUGUUGGGUUAAGUCCCGCAACGAGCGCAACCCUUAUUCUUUGUUGCCAGCGAUUUGGUCGGGAACUCAAAGGAGACUGCCGUUGAUAAAGCGGAGGAAGGUGGGGACGACGUCAAGUCAUCAUGGCCCUUACGACCAGGGCUACACACGUGCUACAAUGGCGUAUACAAAGGGAAGCGAAGGUGCGAGCUGGAGCGGAUCUCAUAAAGUACGUCUAAGUUCGGAUUGGAGUCUGCAACUCGACUCCAUGAAGUCGGAAUCGCUAGUAAUCGUAGAUCAGAAUGCUACGGUGAAUACGUUCCCGGGCCUUGUACACACCGCCCGUCACACCAUGGGAGUGGGUUGCACCAGAAGUAGAUAGCUUAACCGCGAGGGGGGCGUUUACCACGGUGUGAUUCAUGACUGGGGUGAAGUCGUAACAAGGUAACCA
rnacentral:rRNA from 1 species